CAGUCGCCGCGGUAAUACGAAGGGGGCUAGCGUUGUUCGGAAUCACUGGGCGUAAAGCGCACGUAGGCGGAUACUUAAGUCAGGGGUGAAAUCCCGGGGCUCAACCUCGGAACUGCCUUUGAUACUGGGUAUCUUGAGUCCGGGAGAGGUUGGUGGAACUCCGAGUGUAGAGGUGAAAUUCGUAGAUAUUCGGAAGAACACCAGUGGCGGAGGCGGCCAACUGGCCCGGUACUGACGCUGAGGUGCGAAAGCGCGGGGAGCAAACAGGAUUAGAUACCCCGGUAGUCCCUGUCUCUUAUAC
rnacentral:rRNA from 1 species